UACGAAGGGUGCAAGCGUUAAUCGGAAUUACUGGGCGUAAAGGGUGCGUAGGCGGUUCGUUAAGUCUGUCGUGAAAUCCCCGGGCUCAACCUGGGAAUGGCGACGGAUACUGGCGAGCUAGAGUGUGUCAGAGGAUGGUGGAAUUCCCGGUGUAGCGGUGAAAUGCGUAGAGAUCGGGAGGAACAUCAGUGGCGAAGGCGGCCAUCUGGGACAACACUGACGCUGAAGCACGAAAGCGUGGGGAGCAAACAGG
rnacentral:rRNA from 1 species